UACGAAGGGGCUAGCGUUGCUCGGAAUCACUGGGCGUAAAGCGCACGUAGGCGGCUUUUAAGUCAGGGUGAAAUCCUGGAGCUCAACUCCAGAACUGCCUUUGAUACUGAGAAGCUUGAGUCCGGGAGAGGUGAGUGGAACUGCGAAGUGUAGAGGUGAAAUGCGUAGAUAUCGUAAGGAAGACCAGUGGCGAAGGCGGGUCUCUGGACAGUUC
rnacentral:rRNA from 1 species